AGAUAAUCUGGCUGCAACAAGUCUCCAAGGGCUGACACUUUGGAUCUGGCUGACUCAGUAUCUGGGUUCUCUUCCUCCCUACUGAAACUGAGUGAUCCUUUAAACAGGAUGGGAUAGGAGGACAAUUCUUCUGUCAAGAAUGAGUAGCUAUACUCCCUCCUAGAACCUCCAAACAAGCUUUCAAGGUCAUUUGUAGAAGAACAAAGGGCAGUCAAGAUUCCAAGACUCCAGACAUACAUACCACAAUAAAAUAUAGUGAAAAUUCUAU
rnacentral:snRNA from 1 species